CGCGCCCGGAGCCGCGCACUGCCCGCCGGCGCCGCCGCACCCGCGAUAACCCAUCUGAAAUUGUGCCAGAGUUUACAGGAACACUGAUGCCAGCAAUUUAAGGAUCUUCACAUUCUGUCUCAGUGCUAUUUGUUGCAUCUUGCUUCCAAUGAAAGUGCAAGCUCUGCAUAAGCCUCAAAUCUUCUUGCUCACUGACCUGGCACAGUGAAGCCAACACAGCAUCCCCAUCACUGCAAACAGUAAUCAGCUC